AUAUUUUGCUCCAUUGAUCACUUUAUCCAAAAACAAUCAACAAGAAGGCCGAAGUAACAAGUCUCGUCUUCUUCCUUGCAUCACUUUGCUGAAGAGCUCUCUGAUAAUGGCUUCCACUUUCCUUCAAUCUCUCUCUCAACCAAAUCCACUUCUCAUAAACCAGAACUUAACUCAAUUCUCCAUAAACCCAUCAAUUCUAAUCAUCCAAAACCCACAAAAAGCCCAUUUCUUCUCCAUCAAAUGCACUUCAACCUCAUCCCCAGAACCCACCAUUAAUGAUGAUGACGACCCAACUCCAUACUCCACCACCUUGAACAACGCAGAAACUUUCCCUAUUGAAAAGAGAAGAAGAUCUGAAAUACUGAGAGAAAGAAAGUUAAAAAAAGAACUUACAAAAGCUGAGCCACCGAAUUUUGAGAUAGGGUGGAAAAGAACUAAAAAGAUUGAGCUUGAGAAGCCAAAAGGGUAUGUGAUAAUGGAUUUCUUGGAGAAGUUGGAGGAGUUGAUGGGAAAAGAGUUUGGUUCAACUGCUCUUUUGGCUAAGGCUGGAGAAAUAGUAGCAGAGAGAGCCAGAGAAGAGGCAGAGGUGUUGAGAGAUGAAGGGAAAGUAGAGGAGCGAAUGGUGACUGAGUUGUUUAGGGUUUUGAAGUUGAUGGAAAUGGAUUUGGCUAUGGUUAAAGCUGCUGUUAAAGAAGAGACUCUGGGUGAGAGGCUUGAACAGGCCAAGGCCAGAUGCAGGCAAGCUAUACUUGUUGCUAAUUCCUUUUGAACAUUAAUCACAAUAAUAAUAAUAACAAUAAUAUGGCUUUAUUAACUUCUUUCAAUCCAGGUUAAUUUUAGGGACAAUCUUCAAAACUCUUUUACUUGUAAUAAUUCAUGAGUUGCCAUCACACCAAGAGUUCCCAAGAAUUCUCUCCCUCACCAUGAUUAUCAUUGCCAAUUUAUUGUGUCUGAAUUUUACUUUUGUUGAUUUCAGUUGAAUGGAAGGCUGGAAUUCGAGA
rnacentral:misc_RNA from 1 species